rnacentral:rRNA from 1 species
AGAUUAAGAUAAGCAUGCAUGUGAUCAGUGCAGUCCUUGUACGACGAAACUGCGCAAUGGCUCAUUAAAACAGUUAUCGUUCAUUUGGUAAUCAUCUACUACAAGGAUAACUGUAGUAAUUCUAGAGCUAAUACUCGCGUUUUCCCGACUUCUCGGAAGGGAUUGCAUUUAUUAUAUACAAACCAAUCGGUGGUUUACCACUGCUAUAUGGUGAUUCAUAAUAACUAAGCGAAUCGCAUGGGCUCGCCCGGCGAUAGACCUUUCAAGUUUCUGAUCUAUCAGCUAUUGACGGUAGGGUAUUGGCCUACCGUGGCGAUGACGGAUAAAGGGGGAUUAGGGUUCGACUCCUGAGAGGGAGCCUGAGAAACGGCUACCACAUCUAAGGAUGGCAGCAGGCGCGCAAAUUACCCAAUCCUGACACAGGGAGGUAGUGACAAGAAAUAACAAUACAGGGCUUCACAGUCUUGUAAUUGGAAUGAGUAGAUUCUAAAUCUCUCUAC